AAAAAGUCAAAAUCCAAACGGAAUUGAACCUUGCAAAAGUUUUUCUAUUUUUUUGUUUCUUUGUUUAAUUUGUGGAUAUGUGAUUUGGGCAGAUAACUUUCAAACCCAGCUACAUUUAUCAUCUUUUUGUGCAGUUGGCGUUUGUCAAAUGGGUGUGGGCAAGUUUAAAGAACUUAUUGCCCAGUUAAAUGCCACAAAUACUAAAUAAUUUCAACCAAAAGCUGAUUUCUAAACAAAAGUUGGAAACAAAAAUAUGCUAAGCACAUUUACACAUACUUUAUUAUAUAAUUCCCAAGUGGUUUUGGCAGGUAAAGUUUUCAUAUGCAAAAUGUCACAAAAUUCUCAAUAAUCAAUUAACAACAAAUAUAUAAAUAUUACAUUAACACCAACAAAUUGGCACAAAAGCUGAUUUAAAAUCACUUCUCUUAUAAUUCUUAAAUGCAGUCGUAAUUAAAACCCCACCAAUUGAUAAUGGCCAAUAAACCACAACACAGCCUAAUUUAUAAGUGUUUUGUCAUGGAGCCCAACCUCUGGCACGCCUCCAAUUAGUCGCGCAUUAGACUUCAAGGGCAGGCAACAAAAAUUAUUAUCGAUGGCAAUUGCUUAGUCAAGAAAGGGUCUUAAGGGGCCUAUUGAGUUAAAUGGCCAUCAAAGGCUGCUUUGGAGCCAGCUGCACCGCAGUUGCGGCUCCUGUUGUGCUCGUGAUGGUCGUGACACGGCAACUGCUGCUGCUGCAGAGUCACUUGGCCCCUGCUCUGCCUUGCCGCGAGGAGCCCUUGACUGCGACCCCGCUGCUCAUCAGCCCUGCACAAAGGGCUACUUGUGGUCGGCUCUUUCAUAAAAGUUAAAAUGCAAAUACAAUUUGCCACUUAAAAUCAGCAUAAAUUGAAGCAUGCCUCGUGUGAGGGAGGGGUAGGUAAGUGUACGGGCAAUUGCAGGCAGACGCUGUGCGGCGGGUAGGUGAGACCGGGAGGGUCCAAUCGUUUCGCAUUCGAGAGGCACUUCAAACAAUUUACAACAAAAACGGAGGCAAGCAGCAGGAGACAAGUGGAAAGUCGGCAAAAUAAAAAAUCAAACUCAACGAACAUGAACAGAAAAAUAAAACAAACUCAAACUAAAUAAAAGCAGAGCUUGUGGGAAAUUACGGAAAUGAAAAUUCUAUGCAAAAGGUUUUCAAAAGAACAAGAAAAAUGUGUGCAGUGAAAAACAACUGACUGUGCAAUGCUCUAAAAUAAAGUAAUAGGAGUAUGCCAUUGGCUAUCUGCUAAACAUUUCGAUAUAGGUCUCCUGAAAACUAUGGAAAAUAUUAUUUUGAACGUAGCUGAAUAUCUGAACACUAUUUAUAUAGACCCGAUUUAUCUAGCUCCGCACAAGCCCUAUAUACUCUCUCUAUCUUAACUACAAACAGCGUAUGCAGAGUAAAAGCAAUAAAACACAAGCCGAUGAAUUUCACCAUGACAACGGAUCUAUUAUUUGCUAAAUUCCAUUCGUGGCUAGUAAUAUAAAUAUAAAAGCUUGCUCCGAUUAGUUGCCAAGUUACGUAGCUUAGUUAAGACUCACAUGAAUGCCCAUAUGGCUGUCAAAAGUUUGUGAGUUAUUUACAGAUUAGCCCUGAAAUUAAGUAGUUCGUGAAGUUUAGACAAACAAGGGAAACAGCUCAGUUCUGCCGUUAAGAAACUGUCUUAAACGUUUUUCAUUAAGACAAACUUUAAUAUUAACAACCGUUACAGUUCAGCUAAGAUGCUUAAAAUGAUUAAAUAAUAAGUCAACUGUUAAGAUUAAAGCAUAUGUGAGCUUUAAUAUUUAAAAGUUAAAUUACAUUUUUAAAUAUUUAUUACUAAUAACGUACAAGAUAACCUAAUUUUAAGGAUGAGCUUUGAUAUUAAAAGCGUUUUUAAAUGCCCUUUAAUAUAAUUCGACUUUCCAUCUGAGCAUUAAUAAUUAAAAACUCGAAAAGUUAAGCCCUCAAUUCCAAAACCGUUACAGUAGAACUCUACUUAUUGUUAAAAGCUUUUAAGGCCAGCUUAAGUAUUGUAAGCAUAUACAGCUGAGCUUUAAUAUUAUAAGCUUCAACUCAUCAGCUUUAAUAUUAUUAGAUUUUACAGCUGGUCUACAAAUUUAAGCAACUCUUGAAGAUAAGCUUUUAUACUGAAAACUAAUACAGAUUUUCUUUACUAAUUACAGUUUCUAAAGCAGAGCUUUAAUAUUAAAUAUCUUCGACUCUUUUCCUUAGCUGAUUUUCCUACAUUUAGGCUUAACCUCAGCUGCUGUCACAUCCGCAAUUUUGAUAUCUACAUAUAUAUUACGCCAGCUGUUGCCGAUUUUCUAGCAAUAAUUACCCAGUCAAGUAUAUACACACACACACACACACUGGCAGGCACAAUUGUAGUCUCUAAUAAAUUCAUAAUUGACAAUGCCCCUUCAUCUACCCCCAAGUACCAUACACAUAUGACAAAUGCUGCGGGGCGGCGCAUUUCACGCAUAAACAGGCCGCACAUCCACUUCCUUCAGCCUUCUCCUGGCCAACAUCCUGCCACGUCUGCCGUCGCUGCUUUGCAAAUUGCUGCGCUUCCUGCUUCGGCAUUGGCAAAAAGGGUUUGUCGCCUGCGAGCAGCGAGUGCGGCUGCACAACCCUUCGGGUAAUUGCAAAAACUAUUAAGCCAAAUUAUGGGUUUUAAUAUACGAGGCGCAUAAAAUGCCGGCUGCUCGCUGACUUCCAGCGACCCCUCUCUCUCUCUCUCUACCCCCUGCUCGGCACUUGAGUGUUUCAAGUGCCGUGAAAAUCAAGCACACGCGAAAUUAUUAUAUAGAUUUGAAACCCUGCCAACCGCCCGCCUCCCCCCAACCAAAACACACACACACACACACACACACACACUGUUUGUUUGAUUGCAAAAUGUUUGCUCUGGCGUAUGAAACAAAAAAAGGCGCCGCUUCGAAUUAUAUGAAAAAUGCAAGGGUAAUAUUUGUUCGACCUGCGACCGACGUCCCCCACCCCCGCCCACUAACAGAUCAAAUAAGCUCCCAUAUCUAUAUAUAUAAAUGGUAGUUUAUGUGCACUUUUUUGUUGCCAUUCCUCCCCCGUCAAUUGGCGCAGAGUCCAGUGGCAUUCCCAGGGCGCUCUUUAAACGUUUCGGCUUUUGGUCCUUCGAGAGACAUACACGAAAGAAAAAAAAA